GCCGGUAGCCAUCUUCGUGCAUAGCUUGCAACACCAUGAAAAAAUUACUGAGACACUAGGAAUGCUGUGAACUGAGAAAGUUUGGGACCUUUGGCAUAACUAAAUCCUUCAUUUAACAGCCAGGGGAUUGGACGGUGUCAUGGAAAUGUCAAAGAAAAAGUGACACCUGAGAGAAAAUUUGAAAGAUGAAAGGUGCACAUCAUGGAGACAAUCUGACUGGUACAGAGAAAUGAAGAGACAACAUUUUCUUUCCAAAUCUGAGUGGAGAUGCAAUGUUUACAAGGAGGUGAACAGCGCACCAGCAGAUGUUUUGACUUGUAGAAAGCAUGACUUGAUU
rnacentral:lncRNA from 1 species